UUGAAUGUUGUAUUCUAUGGUAAUAGUUAAGCUUUUUUACCCCACAUUUUGAAGGCAAAAUAGAAGCAUGUCUAUAUAUGGGUGGCCAUUGUUGUUUGUUCUGUUGGAUGGAUCAUUAAACAAUUGAACACUAGGCUUUUGGUUCAUAUUUGCCAUUCAAAUUCUGUCCUUUGCUCUUUUAACACAGUCUAAUGCGGAUGUAACAUACAGUACUGUCAAUAAAAAGAGAAAGACUUCAGGUCAGGUAAGACACUGUGUAAAAACGAUUGGCACAGAACAUUAUACAUUUGAAUACAAAAAACUAUUUAGAGGUAGGUUUUGGUUAAACUCUUAUGGUGAUUGAAAUGAUCAUCUGUUUGCCCUAAAAAGGAAGAAUUGUUCAUGUUCAUGUUGAUGGUUUGCAGCUUGGUCUCGCUGAAGAGGAAGUAACAUACAGCGAUGUUAAACACAUGAGAAGAGCUUCAGAAAAGUGGUCAGAAGCUAAUAGAGAUGUGGACGUGAUGUACUCCUCUGUGGUCGCUGUAGAACGUCAAACUAAACAAAGGAUUCAAGCGGAAGAAGAUGAUGUAACAUACAGCAGUUUGGCUUAGCACCAGAGAAACCUGUGAAUGUUACCCCUACUCUACAUCUAUGCUCAUCGAUGGAGGCUUUUUUAGAUGACAGUCUUGCAACUUGCCGACAUCUGAUCUUUGGUUUUGCAGAAACCGCUUUCUUUUUUUCUUAUUUCUCCCCUUCCCCUUUCUUCAUAUCCUUAAGCUCAAGACAUUUUAUGCAUUGACAAAAGCUUUCUACUCUCUUACAAAAGGACUAAACUCCUGAACAUUCAGGAGGAACCAAACAAAUCUUACAGGUUGUUUAAUUAUGUUUGUUCAUUUACAUAUUGUAUUAUGUGUGUUUUGUUGUUUGAUGUUUGAUGGAACAUGAAUUAUAAUGUUUAAAGUACAAAAUAAGUCAACUAAAAUAAACAUUCAAAUGCGAUAAAUCACGAGUUAAUAUUUCAGUUUCUGCCAUCCUCCUUGUCUUCUUCUUCUUAUAUAUUUAACUGUUCGAAACA